rnacentral:rRNA from 1 species
AUUGAACGCUGGCGGCAUGCCUUACACAUGCAAGUCGAACGGCAGGCACGGGAGCAAUCCUGGUGGCGAGUGGCGAACGGGUGAGUAAUACAUCGGAACGUGCCCAGUAGUGGGGGAUAACCCGGCGAAAGCCGGACUAAUACCGCAUACGACCUACGGGUGAAAGCAGGGGAUCGCAAGACCUUGCGCUAUUGGAGCGGCCGAUGUCAGAUUAGGCUUGUUGGGGGGUAAAAGCCUACCAAGGCAACGAUCUGUAGCUGGUCUGAGAGGACGACCAGCCACACUGGGACUGA